AGGACGAACGCUGGCGGCGUGCCUAAAACAUGCAAGUCGAACGGGGGAGCAAUCCCCAGUGGCGAACGGCGGAGUAAUACAUAAGCAACGUGCCCUGAAGACUGGGAUAUACGGCCGAAAGGCUGAGCAAUACCGGAUGUGGCAGCGUCUUGGCAUCAAGAUGCUAUUAAAUGGUUUUUCGCUUCAGGAGCGGCUUAUGGCCUAUCAGGUAGUUGGUGGGGUAAUGGCCUACCAAGCCGACGACGGGUAGCGGGUCUGAGAGGAUGAUCCGCUCGAGUGGGACUGAGACACGGCCCACACACCUACGGGUGGCAGCAGUUGGGAAUCUUGCACAAUGGGGGAAACCCUGAUGCAGCGACGCCGCGUGGAGGAUGACGGAUCUAGGUCUGUAAACUCCUUUUUUCAUGGAAAGACUUAGGACGGUACCAUGAGAAUAAGGACCGGCUAACUACGCGCCAGCAGCCGC
rnacentral:rRNA from 1 species